UACGUAGGGGGGCGAGCGUUGUCCGGAGUUACUGGGCGUAAAGGGCAUGCAGGCGGUCCGACACGUUUUGUGUGACAGCGGGUGGCUUAACUACCCGAGGAUACGAAAGACGGUUGGACUUGAGGACUCGAGAGGGACACGGAAUUCCGGGUGGAGUGGUGAAAUGCGUAGAGAUCCGGAGGAACACCGAAGGCGAAGGCAGUGUCCUGGCGAGUGACUGACGCUGAGGUGCGAAAGCCAGGGGAGCGAACGGG
rnacentral:rRNA from 1 species